AGUGGAAAUCCACGGCUAAUGAAAUAUGGAAUGCUCUAGAAUGUAUUUUUUUUUUCUUCUAAAAGGUACCAACAACACUUUCCACUCCAAAAGAAACAAAUAGCAACGUUACUUUCCAAAGCAUUGCAGCAAGUUGAUAUAAAGGAAAAAUUGGCAGCAACUUUUUUUUUCUCUUUUCUAUCUCACGUUAUUAGGUGAGCUUAGAGGAUCAUUUUCUUUAUUCCAUUUUGAAGAGAGAAGUCACGGCCAUGGUUGCCAAGAGAAAGGCCAUACGGCCAUCCAUGGUUGAAGGAAAGAAAUAAUUUUGUUACUAUUUUAAUUAGGCUUCAAGUGUAGUACAAAUUCAAGGAGGUGAUAGUAACAUUGGAUUUUAAGUUGAAGAAGAAGAAAUUGCGAAAUUGGAGCAAUUAAGAGUAGAAAUUCCUCCGAAAAAAAUUAAGGCUAAAAGAGCGACAAAGCGAACGGUUUUGCGAUUGGUCAUUAACAGGUACAGACGACCGAUUUGCUGAUCCGCCCGCUUAGGAUCCUAUUCUGCUGUCUCGGAGUGCUCCUUUGUCCGGAGCCUAUAUUUUGGGUACAGACUUUUCUGUUGCACAUAUGUAUGUUAUUCAGGGGUAUAACGGGGCCCUGUCCCGUCUUAUGAUUCUGUUAUGAUCUGUAGAGGUCUGUAGACAUACAUGUGGGUUGUGUAUAUGUUUUGGGUUGAUAUGUUUUGCGAUAGCCUUAUCGGCUUCCCCGCAUUGUAUCUGUUUAUCUGUGGUAAUUAGUAACGUUAUUCGCCUUCUAUAUUUGUUCAUCCUGUUUAUAUGCUCGUUUGGGUUACUGGGUACGUACGGGUGUCCAGCACGGACGCUAGUCGCGGCCUACGGGGUUGGGUCGUGACAAGGAAAAUAGUUUUCUUUUAAACAAGUCUUUUCUUUUAAAAAAUAUUAAUAAAUUUUUGUAGUAAACACGAAUAUAAUAAAGUUUUAGAUGCGGAGCACAAAACCCAUGCUUCGUGUAUAUAUAUAUAUAUAUAUAUUAUCACUAUCCAAAUACAACUACAUAUACAUAGAUAUACUAUAAUCUAAAAUAUUGGGUCCGUGCAUAGCACAGACAUAGACCAUCUAGUUAUUAUAGAAGAGCCAAUUGAGAGUUGUUCUCGACAUGUCAGUUUUUGGUCUAUUCUGAUUUAUAAUUGGCUUUUUAGUCAUUUGCUUUAUUACGAUGCUACGUGGCUUUCAUGCCUUGCCACUAGCACAUACUUGCACUUAGUUUUUUUUUUUUUUUUCUUUUUGUUUUUGGACGUACUUCUACUCCAGGGCAUGCACAUGGAGUUUCUUCUUUUCAAAUUGCUCUUCCAAUCCAGGGAUGCUUUUAACGGCGGAGAAUACAGACUUUUCAUGAAUCCACGGAAGAAGAAAAUUUUCAUGAAGCUGAAUGAUCAUCUAAUACAUAUUUGUUGCAGAGAAAUCCACCGGAAAUUUAGGUGCAUAUACUUCUCAAUGGCUUCUUCUUUGUAUGUUGUUAAUCUAUUUGUGAUUCUCUACAUAAGCACACCUUCCCCAUUGCUAUUUUGAUGGAAACCUAGCUUGAUCCGUAAAAGAUUAUUGUAUUUUCUACCAACAACUUAAUCUGUCGAUCAUAGUUCAAGAUGGCCACCUUAUCUUGGCUUAUGAAUUAAUGGACAAAUACUAUUGCUUGUAAUUACCCCCUUUUUCCAUGGCUUAAUGUCGUUCUUCCUUUUACUGUGCCUUAUUUAUGUUUGUUCGCUACUCUGCAUUUAACGCUUUUGUAAGAUAAUCCUCCUUUCUUUAGUUUUUAUCUUUAGUUUGUUAGAUACUCCUCCUCAUACCUAUAAAUAACAAAAUGUGGAUAUCACUAAUACUUUUUGAAGUGGCAAGGUCAUGUAACAAGGCCAUAAUUAAUGAAUCAUAUAUAACUGUAGAGUGUGUAGUGAAGGGCCACUUUAAGAAAGAAAAGGCAUGGGUAGCAUUAGAAACUGUAAAUAUAUGGAGGGACAAAUUUUCUUAGAAAAAGCCCUUUGGACAAACUUUCUGUAAAAGCCAUGGCGUCUUAGAAAAUGAACGUGCUUGAAUUUCUAUUGAGAGCUCUGUCUAAUUGACAAGAAAUGUUAUGAUGUUUAAUAGAUAGUCCCUUUGGGUACAUUCAAUGUAUCGAACAUAAUGUCUAAUAGACAAAAAAAGUUAACUAACUAGUACCUAUUUAACCUAUUAUUAGUUAUAUUUAGAAAAAUUGACUACUGCAAUGACUGUUU